rnacentral:rRNA from 1 species
UACGGGGGGGGCAAGCGUUGUUCGGAAUUACUGGGCGUAAAGGGCUUGUAGGCGGCCAACUAAGUCCGACGUGAAAUCCCCAGCUUAACCUGGGAACUGCGUCGGAUACUGGAUGGCUUGAAUUCGGGAGAGGGAUGCAGAAUUCCAGGUGUAGCGGUGAAAUGCGUAGAUAUCUGGAGGAAUACCGGUGGCGAAGGCGGCAUCCUGGACCGACAUUGACGCUGAGGAGCGAAAGCUAGGGGAGCAAACGGG